AUCCACGCGAGAACCCCAUCAGAAAAACCGAUUUUUUUCAGUUUGAUAAGCAAACGAAGAUGUGGGACCGUAUCAAACGCUUUACUAAAAUCGAAUAGAAUCAUGAUUGUAAUGAGUCUUUUAUCAAUUCCCAUUCUAAUAUCGUCACAGACACGUAAUAGAGCAGAUUACGUAUUGAAACCAGAACGAUACGCAGACUGUCUGGGAUUAAGCAGGUUGUGUUCGUUCAAAUAGUCGGUAAUUUGUGAGGCCACCAUGCGUUCAAGAAUUUUUGACAUUUCAGGAAGGUUAGCAAUAGGUCGCGUAUCAGACGGUGACAGUGGAGUGCGUAUCUUUGAGAGAGGGCGAAUCAACGCACGUUUCCAUGAUGAAGGAAAUACGGAAGCUUUAAGUGAACGAUUGAAAAGAGGAAUGAGCCACUGAGAAAUAACAGGCCAAACAAUGCGAAGAACAUAAAGCGGGAUGCCAUCAUAGCCAGACGCAUAAGAGUGAAGAGGUCCAUUAAAGAUGAGCUUAUAAACAGAAUCUGGCUGUAUAGUAGAGAAAACAAAAUCAGGACGUUGAGAAGUACAAGAAACUGAGGCGAUGGCAGAAAUAAAGUUAACAUAUGUGCAAGGCAAUACCGUACUAGACACUGAGACCAACUGAGACAUAGUAAGAGUUAAGUUGAUCGGGUGUGAAAAAGCGGAGAGGAGAAACCGACGUAGAUUUAACCAGUAGAGAGAGAGGGUGCUUUCCAGCAAGGGAACACAGUCAUACACAGUGCGACACAGUGUUACACAGUGUUGACUUGUAGCUGAAAUGCUGUUUAGCUUUUUUAUUUCACCGCCAGAAUGGAGGGCAGUCACUUUACAUAACCUGAUCUAACUUGUCACUAGGUUUUUGACCUUAAGACACUUGACUUCUCCUCACCCCCGAAGAUAUAACCUACAAAAACCCGUUUCGCGCGGUGAUCAACAAGCGUGAUAAUUAGUUGGUGAAAUUGUUGUUAAAGCAUGGUGCCCAAGUGCCAGUGCAAGAUGUAAACGGUAAAACGCCGUUACAUUUAGCUGCUUGUGGCAGAUUGUUGCUUUACCCGCCCUCGUUAAAGCCGCUCCGACUGCGGCGACUUUGAAGGACGAUCAAGGCUGCACAGUGCUCCAUUGAGUUUAAUGUUACAACGGCAACUCGAAUUGCGUGGAGUAUCUUUUGAAUCAUAACGUGUUCGAUUCUUUGGAAGACAUGUAAUCCUUUUUCUUCCGUACAUUGCGCCGUAUAUCAAGGAUCCGCGCACUGCCUAGAGUUACUCAUCAACAAGUUCGGCGGACAGGCGGUUGCUGCUCCGAGGGAUUCGUCGUGUGGUUUAUUACAACUGCAUGUCGAGGCAAGUGCGGGAUCCGUCAAGUGCGCGCGAUUAAUUCUAAACUCCGUCGGGCCGGAACUAGCCGACCUCGAGACAACCGAUUAUUUCGGACGGUCUCUGCUAAUUCUUUGCGCGGCCGUCAACGGACAAUGCAACGCUAUUGAAUUAUUGCUCGAAUGGGCGCUGCACCUAGCGUGUCAGAGACGUCAUUCCGCCGCGGCGUCAUUGCUCUUAAACUGGAUCGAGUCGCUCGGCAACUCCGAUACCGGCGACAACAACACAUCGCAAUCGCAACGCGUUUCCGUCAUUAAUAUGAUCAAACGGGUUUUUUAAAUGUCAGAAGAUACUUUCGCUGUAAAAGU